AUGCAUUCACAAUCUGUCCAGCAGAAACUAAAUGCUUUCCGCGUCGCUGAAGUCUUUGCCUUCCCUGGGACCGCCGUUUCGGUGCACUCCGAGGAUCGCUGCUGGCACAGCUCUAGCAGGAAGACAGGGCGGAGAGAGAGGGCAGUGGAGGAGAGGGUGGAAGAGGAGGGGCUUUUCCUGUAUAGAAGAUCCUUCCAAAGCAUAUGGCUUUAAGCAGCUGUCCCAC
rnacentral:lncRNA from 1 species